GAUGAACGCUGGCGGCGUGUCUAAUACAUGCAAGUCGAGCGAAUGGAUUAAGAGCUUGCUCUUAUGAAGUUAGCGGCGGACGGGUGAGUAACACGUGGGUAACCUGCCCAUAAGACUGGGAUAACUCCGGGAAACCGGGGCUAAUACCGGAUAACAUUUUGAACCGCAUGGUUCGAAAUUGAAAGGCGGCUUCGGCUGUCACUUAUGGAUGGACCCGCGUCGCAUUAGCUAGUUGGGGAGGUAACGGCUCACCAAGGCAACGAUGCGUAGCCGACCUGAGAGGGUGAUCGGCCACACUGGGACUGAGACACGGCCCAGACUCCUACGGGAGGCAGCAGUAGGGAAUCUUCCGCAAUGGACGAAAGUCUGACGGAGCAACGCCGCGUGAGUGAUGAAGGCUUUCGGGUCGUAAAACUCUGUUGUUAGGGAAGAACAAGUGCUAGUUGAAUAAGCUGACACCUUGACGGUACCUAACCAGAAAGCCACGGCUAACUACGUGCCAGCAGCCGCGGUAA
rnacentral:rRNA from 1 species